AAGCGUGCGCAGGCGGUUAUGUAAGACAGAUGUGAAAUCCCCCGGGCUCAACCUGGGAACUGCAUUAGUGACUGCAUAGCUGGAGUACGGCAGAGGGGGAUGGAAUUCCGCGUGUAGCAGUGAAAUGCGUAGAUAUGCGGAGGAACACCGAUGGCGAAGGCAAUCCCCUGGGCCUGUACUGACGCUCAUGCACGAAAGCGUGGGGAGCAAACAGGAUUAGAUACCCUAGU
rnacentral:rRNA from 1 species